rnacentral:rRNA from 1 species
UACGUAGGGUGCGAGCGUUGUCCGGAAUUACUGGGCGUAAAGAGCUCGUAGGCGGCCAACUAAGUCAGACGUGAAAUCCCUCGGCUUAACCGGGGAACUGCAUCUGAUACUGGAUGGCUUGAGUUCGGGAGAGGGAUGCGGAAUUCCAGGUGUAGCGGUGAAAUGCGUAGAUAUCUGGAGGAACACCGGUGGCGAAGGCGGCAUCCUGGACCGGCACUGACGCUGAGGAGCGAAAGCCAGGGGAGCAAACGGG